UACGUAGGGGGCCAGCGUUGUCCGGAAUCAUUGGGCGUAAAGCGCGCGUAGGCGGCCAGAUAAGUCCGGUGUGAAAGUCAAAGGCUCAACCUUUGAAUGCCGCUGGAAACUGCCUGGCUUGAGUCCGGAAGGGGCGAGUGGAAUUCCAGGUGUAGCGGUGAAAUGCGUAGAUAUCUGGAGGAAUACCGGUGGCGAAGGCGGCAUCCUGGGACCGACAUUGACGCUGAGGAGCGAAAGCUAGGGGAGCAAACGGG
rnacentral:rRNA from 1 species